rnacentral:rRNA from 1 species
AACAAAAACAUGUCCUUUAGUUUAUUUAUUUAAGGUCUAGCCUGCCCACUGAAAUUUUAAAGGGCCGCAGUAAUUUGACUGUGCAAAGGUAGCAUAAUCAUUAGUUUUUUAAUUGAAAGCUUGUAUGAAGGGUUGGACGAGGUAAAUUCUGUCUCUAUUUAAUUUAUUGUAGAAUUUAAUUUUUAAGUUAAAAAGCUUAAAUUUAAUUAAAAGACGAGAAGACCCUAUAGAUCUUUAUAUUAAAAUUAUUAAUUUUAAUAUAGAAUUUUUUAUUUAUUAAUUAUUUUAAUAUUUUAUUGGGGUAAUAGAAAGAUUAAAUUAAUUCUUUUUGAAUUUUUUCAUUUAUUUAUGUUUAUAUGAUCCAAUUUUUUUGAUUAAAAGAUUAAGUUACCUUAGGGAUAACAGCGUAAUUUUUUUAGAGAGUUCAUAUCGAUAAAAAAGUUUGCGACCUCGAUGUUG